GAUGAACGCUGGCGGCGUGCUUAACACAUGCAAGUCGAACGGAAAGGCCCAAGCUUGCUUGGGUACUCGAGUGGCGAACGGGUGAGUAACACGUGGGUGAUCUGCCCUGCACUUCGGGAUAAGCCUGGGAAACUGGGUCUAAUACCGGAUAGGACGAUGGUUUGGAUGCCAUUGUGGAAAGUUUUUUCGGUGUGGGAUGAGCUCGCGGCCUAUCAGCUUGUUGGUGGGGUAAUGGCCUACCAAGGCGUCGACGGGUAGCCGGCCUGAGAGGGCGUGCGGCCACAUUGGGACGGAGAUACGGCCCAGACUCCUACGGGAGGCAGCAGUGGGGAAUAUUGCACAAUGGGCGCAAGCCUGAUGCAGCGACGCCGCGUGGGGGAUGACGGCCUUCGGGUUGUAAACUCCUUUCGCUAGGGACGAAGCGUUUUUGUGACGGUACCUGGAGAAGAAGCACCGGCUAACUACGUG
rnacentral:rRNA from 1 species